rnacentral:rRNA from 1 species
AGUGAACGCUGGCGGUAGGCCUAACACAUGCAAGUCGAACGGCAGCACAGUAAGAGCUUGCUCUUACGGGUGGCGAGUGGCGGACGGGUGAGGAAUACAUCGGAAUCUACUUUUUCGUGGGGGAUAACGUAGGGAAACUUACGCUAAUACCGCAUACGACCUACGGGUGAAAGCAGGGGAUCUUCGGACCUUGCGCGAUUGAAUGAGCCGAUGUCGGAUUAGCUAGUUGGCGGGGUAAAGGCCCACCAAGGCGACGAUCCGUAGCUGGUCUGAGAGGAUGAUCAGCCGCACGGGAACUGAGACACGGUCAAGACUCCUACGGGAGGCAGCAGUGGGGAAUAUUGGACAAAGGGCGCAAGCCUGAUCCAGCCAUACCGCGUGGGUGAAGAAGGCCUUCGGGUUGUAAAGCCCUUUUGUUGGGAAAGAAAAGCAGCAGGUUAAUACCCCGCUGUUCUGACGGUACCCAAAGAAUAAGCACCGGCUAACUUCGUG